rnacentral:rRNA from 1 species
AGUGGCGCACGGGUGCGUAACGCGUAGGCAACCUACCUUCAACAGGGGGACAACCCGGGGAAACUCGGGCUAAUACCGCGUAAUAUCAAUGGGGGCAUCCUUGUUGGUUGAAAGAAAUUCGGUUGAAGAUGGGCCUGCGUCCCAUUAGCUAGUUGGGGGGGUAACGGCCCACCAAGGCGACGAUGGGUAGGGGAACUGAGAGGUUGGUCCCCCACACUGGUACUGAGAUACGGACCAGACUCCUACGGGAGGCAGCAGUAAGGAAUAUUGGUCAAUGGGCGAGAGCCUGAACCAGCCAUGCCGCGUGCCGGACGAAGCCUUUUGGGGUGUAAACGGCUUUUUCCAGGGAAGAAAAUGGGCUUGCGAGCCUCACUGCCGGUACCUGGGGAAUAAGCACCGGCUAACUACGUGCCAGCAGCCGCGGUAAUACGUAGGGUGCGAGCGUUGUCCGGAUUUAUUGGGUUUAAAGGGUGCGUAGGUGGCUUGGUAAGCCUUGGGUGAAAGGCUACGGCUUAACCGUAGGAAUGCCUGAGAGACUGCCCGGCUUGAGUAUCGUGGAGGUAGCUGGAAUUGGUGGUGUAGCGGUGAAAUGCAUAGAUACCACCAGGAACACCGAUUGCGUAGGCAGGCUACUACGGGAUAACUGACACUGAGGCACGAAAGCGUGAGGAGCGAACAGGAUUAGAUACCCUGGUAGUUCACGCUGUAAACGAUGAGGACUCGUUGUUG